GUGUUCACUUUGGCAUCACAUAUACUAAAAAUGGAAUGACACUAAGAAGAUUAGCAUGGCCCCUGUUCAAAGAUGACAAACAAACUUGUCAAGAGUUCCAUAUUUUA
rnacentral:snRNA from 1 species